GUUAAUCAAGGUGAGGUCAGUGGUAAGGUCAUAAGGGUCUAUAAUAGCUUUUAACUUCUUUAAUUGUGUUUAUGUUCUUCUUUGUGUUUACUCAGGGUUUUCUUUUCUGACGACUGGGAAUCUAUAAAGUUUUCUUAUUACUGGAGGUCAAACAAAACACGAAAAGGUAUUUGUUGUCAUACCCUAAUGAUAUCAGUUUAAUCACUCUUAAUAUCCUACAAAGAAUAUAUUUGUUCACAGUUAACAAUUUAGCUUUGGAAUUCAUUUAUGCAUUUUAGGUUUUGAAACAAUUCGUACAUAACAUUGAAUGGAAUGAUCAUAGUUAACUAUGGAUUAUGGUGUAUUAAUUAUAUAUGCCUUAUGAUGAUAGAAUAUAACAAAAAAGACCAAAUACUUGCCUCAUCCCAUAUGGACAGUACGAUAAUUAACCACCUCUACAUAUAUAUUAUGAGAUAGUUUAUACGUAAGAUAUGGAAAAAAAAUUAUGAUUUAAUGUGUUUUGCAAAUAUACUCUAUUUAUUCAAGAUGAAGGACAAAAUGGUCAUUUUAGUACAAAAGAUUGGAACCUAUUAAAUCACUAUAUUUGUUUUGUUUCUUCCGCUUUUUCAUUUAGUAGUUUCAUGAUUUUAGCAUUUCUUUUGUUGGUAAAUGAUGCAUUAUUUCUAUUCCCAUUUUUUUAUUUCUUCUGUUGUUGUUGAUUGUAUUACAUAAUUUGCAAUCUCAUAUUACAGGUUUUCGCUUACAAAAGAACUUUUAAUUGAAAGACUAAAUAAUGUUCGAUAAGAUGAAACAAUUUGUCAGAUUGGUUCGAAUCCUUUGAUUUUCUUUUUCUCUUCAUAAUGCUGAAUAUAGAUACACUACACAUGAUUUCAGGGACAUUCAAUAACAUCAACAAUAAGGUAAAUAUUCAUAUUUCUAGAGUAAUCUGUUUUUUUACUACUUUUGGUUGAUUAAAGUUAUGUUUUUUCUUUUCUGUAGCUUUGUGUUACUUGUGCCCAAGGAUAAGUUGGAGAAAGAAAAACACUUCAUGUCACUUGUGUCCAUAGAAAUCACAUUACAGAAAGAUCUCACUCUAAAAAUUUCAAAGGGACAAAAGUACAACGCUAUUUCACGCUAUAAUGUAUGUGAUUGGUGUGCUGGAACAUGUAACAAGCACCAAAAAACACACAUCCUUUGACAUAAUAUAUUAUGGUCAUUUAACACAGUUUACAAAUUUGAAAAUUUUGAAAAACAAAUCCAAUAUUGGGGUGUAACUGUUCUCUAUGUAAGCAUAUGUAAGCCUAUAUGCAAGAAAUAAUAAUGUACUUUCAUUAAUUUGUUUAUUUUAGCAUUCUCUUAAUGAUAUAUUUGGGUUGUUACAACUUUAAGAACGAGGUUCAAACAAUAACACCAUUUUUAACCUAAUGUCGUAUUCAAAGUAUAAAUAAAUAGUUUAUGAAAGAAUAUCUAUAGAGAAUAAACCGAACAAAAAAUAUCUCACAUUUAUCCCUGCAACGCGGGGUCACUCACCUAGUUAUAUAGAAAAAAUGAGUUUGUUGCCUUUUUAAAAGAUCAAAUAAAUUUGUUGACAACUUAACAACAUCUUGAAAAGUUUAUUUUUAAAAUUUAAUAUAUUCUUAAAUUUAUUACAUAAAUAUUAGUUGUAACGUGUUAUGUCACACUAGAUUAGAUUAUAAUAAUAUGGAUUUCCCCACAUAUAUGUCCUCACAGCGUCCAAUGUUUUUUUUAUUAUAAUAAAGAUAAAGAUCUUUUUUUCUUCUUCAUCAUGUGCCUUUGAUAAUAUUUAUUUUUUCAAAACCUAUCUAAUAAUAAAUAUAAGAAAGAAUGUAAUAUGAUGAGUUUGAUCAAUUCAACAUACCCAUUGUAUCUUAUCAAUUAUCAGUAACAUAUUCCAGUAACCGCUAAAGUUACUAUGGUUUUAAUUUUUUAUUGGAUUUUAAAAUCUUUGACCAUUUCAAGAUCGAUAAAUCCAUAUAUUAGGCAAGAUUCUUGGGAUUAUUAUUAUAAUAAAACUACAAAAAACAAAAUUCCAAAACCUAUUCAUUAGUUUUUCUUAAAUGACGUUUGAUUUUUUUAUUCAAUAAGUUAUAAUAUGAGUUUAUUAUUGGGUAUUUGUGUACAUAUAUUAUUUUUGGCAUAUGCACCUAUCUAUAGUUGUUAAGGAUUUAUCUUUCUAUCCAUGUGAAAUAGUGAUAAAUACUACAUUUUUAUAAAGUUAAUAGUAUUUU
rnacentral:lncRNA from 1 species